AUGUUCCUGGGGAACUCUCAGUGCGUCAGGUGUCUCUGCCCGUUGCCUCUCGUCCUGCUGCUCGGCACCACCAGAAGGAGCCAGCACGCUCCCGUGGGACACCGGCCCACACGGCCCCCGGGGCCUGCGGGCCACUGUGGCACCGCCACCCACAGCUCCCGCCCACAGUGUCACACCCUGGGCCACCCACAGUGCCCCAUGCCGCGCCACUCACAGUGUCACCCACAGAGCCACCCACAGGGCCACCCACAGUGCCCCAUACAGCGCCACUCACAGUGUCACCCACAGAGCCACCCACAGGGCCACCCACAGUGCCCCAUACAGCGCCACUCACAGUGUCACCCACAGAGCCACCCACAGGGCCACCCACAGUGCCCCAUACAGCGCCACUCACAGUGUCACCCACAGAGCCACCCACAGGGCCACCCACAGUGCCCCAUACAGCGCCACUCACAGUGUCACCCACAGAGCCACCCACAGGGCCACCCACAGUGCCCCAUACAGCGCCACUCACAGUGUCACCCACAGAGCCACCCACAGGGCCACCCACAGUGCCCCAUACAGCGCCACUCACAGUGUCACCCACAGAGCCACCCACAGGGCCACCCACAGUGCCCCAUACAGCGCCACUCACAGUGUCACCCACAGAGCCACCCACAGGGCCACCCACAGUGCCCCAUACAGCGCCACUCACAGUGUCACCCACAGAGCCACCCACAGGGCCACCCACAGUGCCCCAUACAGCGCCACUCACAGUGUCACCCACAGAGCCCCCCACAGGGCCACCCACAGUGGCCCAUGCCGCGCCACUCACAGUGUCACCCACAGAGCCCCCCACAGGGCCACCCACAGUGGCCCAUGCCGCGCCACUCACAGUGUCACCCACAGAGCCCCCCACAGGGCCACCCACAGUGGCCCAUGCCGCGCCACUCACAGUGUCACCCACAGAGCCCCCCACAGGGCCACCCACAGUGGCCCAUGCCGCGCCACUCACAGUGUCACCCACAGAGCCCCCCACAGGGCCACCCACAGUGGCCCAUGCCGCGCCACUCACAGUGUCACCCACAGUGCCCCAUGCAGCGCCACUCACAGUGUCACCCACAGAGCCACCCACAGCGCCACCCACAGUGCCCCAUGCAGCAUCACCCACAGAGCCACCCACAGUGCCCCAUGCCGCGCCACUCACAGUGUCACCCACAGAGCCACCCACAGUGCCCCAUGCCGCGCCACUCACAGUGUCACCCACAGAGCCACCCACAGGGCCACCCACAGUGCCCCAUACAGCGCCACUCACAGUGUCACCCACAGAGCCACCCACAGUGCCCCAUGCCGCGCCACUCACAGUGUCACCCACAGAGCCACCCACAGUGCCCCAUGCCGCGCCACUCACAGUGUCACCCACAGAGCCCCCCACAGGGCCACCCACAGUGCCCCAUGCCGCGCCACUCACAGUGUCACCCACAGAGCCCCCCACAGGGCCACCCACAGUGCCCCAUGCCGCGCCACUCACAGUGUCACCCACAGAGCCCCCCACAGGGCCACCCACAGUGCCCCAUGCCGCGCCACUCACAGUGUCACCCACAGAGCCCCCCACAGGGCCACCCACAGUGCCCCAUGCCGCGCCACUCACAGUGUCACCCACAGAGCCCCCCACAGGGCCACCCACAGUGCCCCAUGCCGCGCCACUCACAGUGUCACCCACAGAGCCCCCCACAGGGCCACCCACAGUGCCCCAUGCCGCGCCACUCACAGUGUCACCCACAGUGCCCCCACAGUGCCCCCUACAGGGCCACCCACAGCGCCCCCCGCGCGCUCGGCUCCCGACCCUGGCGUCAGUGA
rnacentral:lncRNA from 1 species